GACAGAGGAUGCAAGCGUUAUCCGGAAUGAUUGGGCGUAAAGCGUCUGUAGGUGGCUUUUUAAGUCCGCCGUCAAAUCCCAGGGCUCAACCCUGGACAGGCGGUGGAAACUACCAAGCUGGAGUACGGUAGGGGCAACCGGAACAAACGGUGGAGCGGUGAAAUGCGUAGAUAUCGUUUGGAACGCCGAUGGUGAAAACAGGUUGCUGGGGCUGUGCUGACGCUGAGACACGAAAGCCAGGGGAGCGAACGGG
rnacentral:rRNA from 1 species